GAUGAACGCUGGCGGCGUGCUUAACACAUGCAAGUCGAACGAAGCACAUGCGGCGGAACUUUUCGGAGGGAAGAUGUAUGUGACUGAGUGGCGGACGGGUGAGUAACGCGUGGGUAACCUGCCCCAUAGAGGGGGACAACAGUUGGAAACGACUGCUAAUACCGCAUAAGAAAGAAUUGCCGCAUGGCAGUUUUUUGAAAGAUUUAUCGCUAUGGGAUGGACCCGCGUCUGAUUAGCUAGUUGGGAGGGUAACGGCCUACCAAGGCAACGAUCAGUAGCCGGCUUGAGAGAGUGAACGGCCACAUUGGGACUGAGACACGGCCCAG
rnacentral:rRNA from 1 species